GAGAGGCCGGAGUGGGAGCGUCUCCCGAUGCCUUUCAUCUGAGAAGUUCAAGGCACUUGGUAGAGCUUCUGCCACAGGCCGCGCGUGGGUCUUGCAGCACAUUUGUAAGCAAUGGCUGCCAUCCGGAAGAAAUUGGUGAUUUUGGUGAUGGAGCCUGUGGCAAGACUGGCUUGCGCAUCGUUUUUAGCAAGGACCAGUUCCCAGAGGUGUACGCACCCACGGUGUGUGAGAACUACGUGGCAGACCCUGAAGUGGAGGGAAAGCGGGUCGAGUUGGCUUUGUGGGACACGGCCGGGCAGGAGGAUUAGGAUCGCGUGAGGCCCCUCUCCUACCCGGACACUGAUGUUAUCCUGAUGUGUUUCUCCAUUGACAGCCCUGAUAGUUUAGAAAACAUCCCAGAAAAAUGGACUCUGGAAGUCAAGCAUUUCUGUCCCAAUGAGCCCAUCGUCCUGGUUGGGAACAUGGGAACAUGGGUACAUGGAGUGUUCAGCAAAGACCAAAGAUGGAGUGAGGGAGGUAUUCGCAAAGGCCACGAGAGCUGCUCUGCAAGCCAGACGUGGGAAGAAAAAAUCGGGGUGCCUUGUUUUGUGAACUCUGCUGCAAGCACAGCCCUCACGCGGUUCAUUUUGAAGUGCUGUUUAUUAAUCUGAGUGUAUGACUCCUGGCCUUUUUCAUUUAUCUAUAAUUUACCUAAGAUUACAAAUCAGAAGCCAUCUUGCUACCAGCAUUUAGAAGCCAACCAUGAUUAUCAAUGAUCCAGACCACCUGGCCCUCCAGGCCCUCUGACAGGGCUCUAACAGCCCUCCUCUGUGCUCCCACCUGACACACCAGGCGCUAGUGCAAGGAAUUCCUUAACUUCUUGCUUCUUUCUAGAAAGAGAAAUGGUAACUUUUGUGAGUCAGGCUGUAACUACUUCAUAACUAACAUGGCUUGCCUGUCAUCUGUCAGCUGCAAGGUGCUCUGGUGAGCUACCACUUCAGAGCUUUACUCCGAGCAGAUUUCAUUGUGGUACCUCUGGAGUGGGCACCAGUUUUUUCAAAAUGUGCUCAGCCAGAGAGGCCCUAGUUCAUGCAGCUGUGGCAAAGUUACAGCUUUGUGGUUUCAUGUUUGUUACCUUAUAGUUACUGUGUAAUUAGUGCCACUUAAUGUAUCUUACCAAAAAUAUAUGUAUAUC